rnacentral:misc_RNA from 1 species
UUUGAAUAUUUAAUGGUUUAAGAAGAACGCUUUUAAAAAGUUUCUGCAUAUGCGAUGUAAAUGCUCUGUAUUGAAUGCGAGGUAACAUCGGUUCAUGCAGGAAAAGAAACCAUCAGGUUUUCACUAACUUUCGAUAUGGAUGAUUCGAAGUAUUCCGAACGAAAAGUUUCACAGAUAUAAAGUUUUCCCAAUCAUAAAAGCAUAAAAAAGCGAGUAUUUAUUUGAACUCCAAACAAUAAUACCAGAAUGUUGAGAAAAGCUUUUGCAUACAAUUAAUACACAGAAAAAUAUUCGAAUUUCAAAUAAAAUUAUUUAGUAUUAUUUACAAGCCAGCACAACUUUUUGAUUUAAUUGCUGGAAGGCGUUUUAUUUUCCACACCUUUAUUACUAUUACACAUCUUGUAAAGACUUCGAGUGGGCAGUGAAAUUAAAUCGUAUGGGUCUGAAUUUGCUUGGAAUAUGGCCUAAUCCAAAAGAAAAUCCCAGAGAGAAAUUAAUGAGCAAUAUACGUGCGCUCUUUACAUUUCUGGUGAUGAUAACUGUAUUGGUGCCUUGUUUACAUUCAUUAAUUAAAGUUCAUUCUGAUGUCAUGCUAAUAAUAGAUAAUUUACAAAUUACUUUACCGAUACUUAGCACCGUUAUAAGGCUCCCAAUUUUUUGGUGGAAAAAAAAAGCAUUUACAUCGAUUAUAAACAUGAUCGUGGAGGACUGGCUAAAGUCAAAGAACAUUCAUGAAAGACAAACGAUGGUAAAAUGGGCGUUACGUGCACGUAUAUUUAUUACAUGCUCGUAUAUAAUGAUAGCAAUCGGACUAAUAACUCUUUUUGUCAUACCUAUUUUCGGAAAAUCAAUGACAUUGACACCGAAUAUCACUGAUUCUGGCAGGUCAUUGACCCUACCAACUUAUUACAUUUACGAUGUAACAAAGAGACCACAGUACGAAUUCACAAUUAUUAGUCAAUGGAUCUCUACCACCACGACAGGCAUUCUUUAUAUAGGAAUUGACAAUUUUUUUGGAUUAUUAGUUUUUCAUAUUUGUGGACAAUUGAGCAUCAUGAGGAAUCGUUUGAAACAUAGUCACGAAAAUUUUCGUGUUGUGUUGAGAGCUAAUGUGAUGUACCAUAUUCGAUUGCUUAGAGCUAUAAAUACUAUAGAAGAUACAUAUAACGUCAUUCUUUUAAUAUUAUUUCUGUAUUUUGGGAUAAUGUUUGUCUUCUGUGGAUUCCUACUAGUUACUCUGGUUGGAGAAGGAGAGACCAAUGUAUCAUUUACGCGUCUGUCAAUUCCUUUCAUGAUUAUCAUGUCUAUAUUCAUACAUAUGGGUAUUUAUUGCGCUGUUAAUGAAACGUUAAUGGCAGAAUGCAAUAAAAUUUAUCAUGAGGUGUACGAGUGUGAAUGGUAUUCCCUCGAUCCAAAAGAAGCAAAGGACUUAAUCCCAUUUAUGAUUAAAGUUAGUGAUCCUGUUUAUUUCACUGCUGGUAAAAUAUUUCCUGUAACAAUGGCUAUGCUUUGCAAUUUGAUAAAGACAUCGGCUGGUUAUGUAUCCGUUUUACUUACGGCACGGAAGAACUAAAAAUUUAGAUAGAAUUAAAUUGCUUUUAGCUUUUCCUAGAAUCACUAGAAUAAUUAAAAAAGCUUGGACUUGCAUUGCUAUGCUUUUAGAAAUUUAGAAUAGAAAUAUGAAAUAAAUAAAUUGUUAAAACGUAAUUCUUUGAUCAAAUAAUAUUACAUAAUAUUACAUAAUAAUAUUACAUAAGGAAACUUAACUUAAUGUUAACGUACCCAUUACAUUAGAAUAUAAUAAAACUAUUCUGCUGUUAUACUUUA